AGAACGAACGCUGGCGGCAUGCCUAACACAUGCAAGUCGAACGAGAAAGUGGAGCAAUCCAUGAGUAAAGUGGCGACCGGGUGAGUAACACGUGACUAACCUACCUUUUAGUGGGGGAUAACCUCGGGAAACCGAGGCUAAUACCGCAUAACAUCGCAAGAUCAAAGCAGCAAUGCGCUGGAAGAGGGGGUCGCGGCUGAUUAGCUAGUUGGCGGGGUAACGCCCACCAAGGCGAAGAUCGGUA
rnacentral:rRNA from 1 species